rnacentral:rRNA from 1 species
CCUACGGGGGGCAGCAGUGGGGAAUAUUGCACAAUGGGCGCAAGCCUGAUGCAGCGACGCCGCGUGAGGGACGAAGGCCUUCGGGUCGUAAACCUCUUUCGGCAGGGACGAAGCGCAAGUGACGGUACCUGCAGAAGAAGCGCCGGCCAACUACGUGCCAGCAGCCGCGGUAAGACGUAGGGCGCAAGCGUUGUCCGGAUUUAUUGGGCGUAAAGAGCUCGUAGGCGGCCUGUCGCGUCGACUGUGAAAACCCGCGGCUUAACUGCGGGAGUGCAGUCGAUACGGGCAGGCUAGAGUUCGGUAGGGGAGACUGGAAUUCCUGGUGUAGCGGUGAAAUGCGCAGAUAUCAGGAGGAACACCGGUGGCGAAGGCGGGUCUCUGGGCCGAUACUGACGCUGAGGAGCGAAAGCGUGGGGAGCGAACAGGAUUAGAUACCCGA